AGUGAGGGGGUGACUAGUGACAGAGUGAGGGAAGGGGUGACUAGUGGCAGAGUGAGGGAAGGAAGGGGUGACUAGUGACAGAGUGAGGGACUAGUCACCACCUCCCUCACUCUGUCACUAGUCACCACCUCCCUCUGUCACUAUUCCCCCCCUUUUUCUGUCACUAGUCACCCCCUCCGUCCCUUACUCUGUCACUAGUCACCCCCUAACUCACUCUGUCACUAGUCAUCCCCCUCUCUCAU